AACGAACGCUGGCGGCAUGCCUAACACAUGCAAGUCGAACGGAUCCUUCGGGAUUAGUGGCGCACGGGUGCGUAACGCGUGGGAAUCUGCCCUGGGGUACGGAAUAACUCAGCGAAAGUUGUGCUAAUACCGUAUGAUGUCUUCGGACCAAAGAUUUAUCGCCCUGGGAUGAGCCCGCGUAGGAUUAGCUAGUUGGUGAGGUAAAGGCUCACCAAGGCGACGAUCCUUAGCUGGUCUGAGAGGAUGAUCAGCCACACUGGGACUGAGACACGGCCCAGACUCCUACGGGAGGCAGCAGUGGGGAAUAUUGGACAAUGGGCGCAAGCCUGAUCCAGCAGUGCCGCGUGAGUGAUGAAGGCCUUAGGGUUGUAAAGCUCUUUUACCCGGGAAGAUAAUGACUGUACCGGGAGAAUAAGCCCCGGCUAACUCCGUGCCAGCAGCCGCAGUAA
rnacentral:rRNA from 1 species